rnacentral:rRNA from 1 species
CGCUGACACUCCUACGGGAGGCAGCAGUGGGGAAUAUUGCACAAUGGGCGCAAGCCUGAUGCAGCCAUGCCGCGUGUAUGAAGAAGGCCUUCGGGUUGUAAAGUACUUUCAGCAGUGAGGAAGGUGGAGUCGUUAAUAGCGGCCUCAUUUGACGUUAGCUGCAGAAGAAGCACCGGCUAACUCCGUGCCAGCAGCCGCGGUAAUACGGAGGGUGCGAGCGUUAAUCGGAAUUACUGGGCGUAAAGCGCAUGCAGGUGGUUUGUUAAGUCAGAUGUGAAAGCCCGGGGCUCAACCUCGGAAUUGCAUUUGAAACUGGCAGACUAGAGUACUGUAGAGGGGGUAGAAUUUCAGGUGUAGCGGUGAAAUGCGUAGAGAUCUGAAGGAAUACCGGUGGCGAAGGCGGCCCCCUGGACAGAUACUGACACUCAGAUGCGAAAGCGUGGGGAGCAAACAGGAUUAGAUACCCUGGUAG